rnacentral:rRNA from 1 species
UACAGAGGUCUCAAGCGUUGUUCGGAUUCAUUGGGCGUAAAGGGCGCGUAGGCGGCGGGGCAAGUCGGGUGUGAAAUCUCAGGGCUCAACCCUGAAACUGCACUCGAUACUGCUCUGCUUGAGGACUGGAGAGGAGACUGGAAUUCACGGUGUAGCAGUGAAAUGCGUAGAUAUCGUGAGGAAGACCAGUGGCGAAGGCGGGUCUCUGGACAGUUCCUGACGCUGAGGCACGAAGGUCAGGGGAGCAAACGGGG